UACGUAGGUGGCAAGCGAUACUCGGAAUCACUAGGCGUAAAGCGCAGGUAGGCGGUUUAGUAAGUCUUUUGUGAAAGCUCCUGGCUCAACUGGGAGAGGUCAAAGGAAACUACUAGGCUAGAGUUUGGUAGGGGAUACUGGAAUUCCUGGUGUAGCGGUGAAAUGCGUAGAGAUCCGGAAGAACACCGGUGGCGAAGGCGGUCUGCUGGGCAGUUGCUGGACACUGAGGCGCGACAGCG
rnacentral:rRNA from 1 species